UUAUGGACGGCUUCAGCCCGUCAGUGGCGCAGGCUAAUGUUAUAGUGGCUGCCGUGAUGUGUGACUUGCUGGGCCCAUGCUCCUCCCUGGUGCUCCUCUUGACCGAAGUCGCUGAAGUUAGAGUUGAUUGAAGAUCUGGACAGCAUGUGGAUGAUCUUCCACCAAUCAGAGAUGAUUUGAAAAAUCAGCGUGUUCGGUGAGGGCUGGAACCUAGUCCACGCUAGGUCCUCUGGCUCACCACACCCGCACACUAACCACUCGGCCACCGCCUCCCCAGAGUUCCACUUAAUCUUAAAUUUCACUUAAAAUUAAACACUUCAGUAACUGAAUGUGUAGUAAUAGUACUUCAUAAAUGUUAAAUGAUGAUCUAAUCAAGAAAUAUGGGCAUUGAAAUGUAGCGUUUGUAAUUAUAAAGGUUGCGUUUAUCAUCGGCGCAAGGCGAUAGUCUAUUCUUGUUUGCAAACAAGAGCACAUGUGUUGUGCUGCCGGUGCCGUAUCGAGACCUGCUGCCUUUCACCGUUAUUACUGGGGCCGCAUACUCAAAACAUUCAAAAGUGCCUUUCGUGGCAACGACACCUUUCCGCCCCACCGUUCCCCGAAAAGUGCGUAAACAGAAGCUCACCAGGUUGGCGCCAUCUUUGAAAACAGGGCUCAUAAGUGCCUUUGCUGAAAGGUAGGGACGGAGCUGCUGUUGAGGAGACAAAGGUAGGGACGGAGCUGCUGUUGAGGAGGCAAAGGUAGGGACGGAGCUGCUGUUGAGGAGGCAAAGGUAGGGACGGAGCUGCUGUUGAGGAGACAAAGGUAGGGACGGAGCUGCUGUUGAGGAGGCAAAGGUAGGGACGGAGCUGCUGUUGAGGAGGCAAAGGUAGGGAUGGAGCUGCUGUUGAGGAGACAAAGGUAGGGACGGAGCUGCUGUUGAGGAGGCAAAGGUAGGGACGAAGAUGCUGUUGAGGAGGCAAAGGUAGGGACGGAGCUGCUGUUGAGGAGGCAAAGGUAGGGACGGAGCUGCUGUUGAGGAGGCAAAGGUAGGGACGGAGCUGCUGUUGAGGAGGCAAAGGUAGGGACGGAGCUGCUGUUGAGGAGGCAAAGGUAGGGACGGAGCUGCUGUUGAGGAGGCAAAGGUAGGGACGGAGCUGCUGUUGAGGAGGCAAAGGUAGGGACGAAGAUGCUGUUGAGGAGGCAAAGGUAGGGACGGAGCUGCUGUUGAGGAGGCAAAGGUAGGGACGGAGCUGCUGUUGAGGAGGCAAAGGUAGGGACGAAGAUGCUGUUGAGGAGGCAAAGGUAGGGACGGAGCUGCUGUUGAGGAGGCAAAGGUAGGGACGGAGCUGCUGUUGAGGAGGCAAAGGUAGGGACGGAGCUGCUGUUGAGGAGGCAAAGGUAGGGACGGAGCUGCUGUUGAGGAGGCAAAGGUAGGGACGGAGCUGCUGUUGAGGAGGCAAAGGUAGGGACGGAGCUGCUGUUGAGGAGGCAAAGGUAGGGACGAAGAUGCUGUUGAGGAGGCAAAGGUAGGGACGGAGCUGCUGUUGAGGAGGCAAAGGUAGGGACGGAGCUGCUGUUGAGGAGGCAAAGGUAGGGACGGAGAUGCUGUUGAGGAGGCAAAGGUAGGGACGGAGCUGCUGUUGAGGAGGCAAAGGUAGGGACGGAGCUGCUGUUGAGGAGGCAAAGGUAGGGACGAAGAUGCUGUUGAGGAGGCAAAGGAGGACAACACAAGUCUCCCAGCUCACAAUUAUAUGAAAUACAACCUCAUAACUUGGUUUUGAGUGAAAUACAUAAUUUCAAGAGUUAUUACUGGGUGGCAGCACCAUAGUAAACUUAUAUUGCCUAAUCAAAUAAGGAGUUAUGAAUGAUUUCUAGGGAUUUUGAGUUGAUUCAUGAACAGUUAUAUAAUACUGUUUUAUCCACUCACAGUGAGGUGGACCCCAAGUAACACUAUAAUAGGCUAGUAAAUGGAGUUACAUUACUUCAGUAGAUAGGACAAUCGAUGGUGUUGUUAUUGAUAAGGGAUCAUGGGAAUGUGGCUACUGCCGAGUGUCAGGCUACGUAUUGUUUUUUAUUGCUUCUCAACGGACAAAGGGUACUUCUCACCCUCACCUGUAUCAGCAUGUUUUCUCACUCUGCACCAUGCGAGGAUUCUAGAAUGUUCCCUCCACUUCUUGAUGCCGUAGCAGCCAGCUGUGGACAGUGCUGAGUGAUUGGCUCACACUUCUAAAAUCACAGUUGUCAUGGGAGCUGUGACUGGUUGACUCGUGAAAAGGUGCCUGUGAGGAAAAUCCCGCCUUUCAGCGAUUCAGCAUGCCAAUGUCGCCUUUGAAAAUGUUUGUAUAUCGGGAUCCAGCCGAAAUGAAAAGCGUCGUUGGUGCGCCGUUUGAAACGGCGCCUUCCGUUAACUGGUGUCUGUUGGUAAGGCGUGUUUUGCGUACAUGGCCCGUGGACCACUGGGCCUGUUAUUUGGUAGGAUAGGAUGUAUUUACUCUACUAGCAAUUCUAUAGGAGUUCUACUCUACUGAGGAAGCGGUGGUGGAGUCGUUAGCAUGCCAGUCCUGCGUUUCACCGUGUCCAGGAUGAUGUGGGUUCAAAUCCGCCGCUACCGGCCAGGAGAUGGCACCACUAUAAACACUUGCCUGUGCCAUGAUGGACGGGCCUUGGCCGAACACCAGGCCCAACCAAGAAAGCACACCAGCGCUAUGGGCGUGAACGGGGGGAAAAAAAAAAAAAAAAAAAAAAAAAAAAAAAAAAAAAUAGAA